CCUACGGGUGGCAGCAGUGAGGAAUAUUGGUCAAUGGACGAGAGUCUGAACCAGCCAAGUAGCGUGAAGGAUGACUGCCCUAUGGGUUGUAAACUUCUUUUAUAUGGGAAUAAAAUGUUCCACGUGUGGGAUUUUGUCUGUACCAUGUGAAUAAGGAUCGGCUAACUCCGUGCCAGCAGCCGCGGUAAUACGGAGGAUCCGAGCGUUAUCCGGAUUUAUUGGGUUUAAAGGGAGCGUAGGUGGAUUGUUAAGUCAAUUGUGAAAGUUUGCGGCCCAACCGUAACAUUGCAGUUGAAACUGGCAGUGUUGAGUACAGUAGAGGUGGGCGGAAGUCGUGGUGUAGCGGUGAAAUGCUUAGAGAUCACGAAGAACUACGAGUGCGAAGGCAGCUCACUGGACUGCAACUGACACUGAGGCUCGAAAGCGUGGGUAUCAAACAGGAUUAGAUACCCGUGUAGUC
rnacentral:rRNA from 1 species